GGUUACGUCACCGACUGACUGGAGCGCCGCCCCUCCAUUCGUCGGUGGACGCUUGAGUAACACUUGGGUAACCUGCCUGUAAGACUGGGAUAACUCCCGGAAACCGGGGCUAAUACCGGAUGCUUGAUUGAACCGCAUGGUUCAAUCCUAAAAGGUGGCUUUCCCCUACCACUUACAGAUGGACCCGCGGCGCAUUAGCUAGUUGGUGAGGUAACGGCUCACCAAGGCGAAGAUGCGUAGCCCACCUGAGAGGGUGAUCGGCCAAAAUGGGACUGAGACACGGCCCAAACUCCUACGGGAGGCAGCAGUAGGGAAUCUUCCGCAAUGGACGAAAGUCUGACGGAGCAACGCCGCGUGAGUGAUGAAGGUUUUCGGAUCGUAAAACUCUGUUGUUAGGGAAAAACAAGUACCGUUCGAAUAGGGGGGUACCUUGACGGUACCUAACCAGAAAGCCACGGCUAACUACGUGCCAGCAGCCGCGGUAAUACGUAGGUGGCAAGCGUUGUCCGGAAUUAUUGGGCGUAAAGCGCGCGCAGGCGGUUUCUUAAGUCUGAUGUGAAAGCCCCCGGCUCAACCGGGGAGGGUCAUUGGAAACUGGGGAACUUGAGUGCAGAAGAAGAGAGUGGAAUUCCACGUGUAGCGGUGAAAUGCGUAGAGAUGUGGAGGAACACCAGUGGCGAAGGCGACUCUCUGGUCUGUAACUGACGCUGAGGCGCGAAAGCGUGGGGAGCGAACAGGAUUAGAUACCCUGGUAGUCCACGCCGUAAACGAUGAGUGCUAAGUGUUAGAGGGUUUCCGCCCUUUAGUGCUGCAGCAAACGCAUUAAGCACUCCGCCUGGGGAGUACGGUCGCAAGACUGAAACUCAAAGGAAUUGACGGGGGCCCGCACAAGCGGUGGAGCAUGUGGUUUAAUUCGAAGCAACGCGAAGAACCUUACCAGGUCUUGACAUCCUCUGACAACCCUAGAGAUAGGGCUUCCCCUUCGGGGGCAGAGUGACAGGUGGUGCAUGGUUGUCGUCAGCUCGUGUCGUGAGAUGUUGGGUUAAGUCCCGCAACGAGCGCAACCCUUGAUCUUAGUUGCCAGCAUUCAGUUGGGCACUCUAAGGUGACUGCCGGUGACAAACCGGAGGAAGGUGGGGAUGACGUCAAAUCAUCAUGCCCCUUAUGACCUGGGCUACACACGUGCUACAAUGGGCAGAACAAAGGGCAGCGAAGCCGCGAGGCUAAGCCAAUCCCACAAAUCUGUUCUCAGUUCGGAUCGCAGUCUGCAACUCGACUGCGUGAAGCUGGAAUCGCUAGUAAUCGCGGAUCAGCAUGCCGCGGUGAAUACGUUCCCGGGCCUUGUACACACCGCCCGUCACACCACGAGAGUUUGUAACACCCGAAGUCGGUGAGGUAA
rnacentral:rRNA from 1 species